UCUAUAACAUUAUUGUCAGAAUUUUACUGCCAAAAUUCUCGAGGUUUUCAAGAUACCAUCUGCGACGAUCGAUCAACCAUAUCACAAUAUCACCUGAUCGAAAAAUUUCCAAUUUGAAAAAACCCCGUGUUAGUAUAGUAUGAACAAGACUCGUAAGCUUUGAAUUCUUCUACACGUAACAUCGAGUGUAUCGGAGUACCAUAUCGGUUCAUAAAUCGACUCGUUGAAACUCUGAGGACUACAAUUUUUCGACACGCAGUCUCCGUGAAAAUUAUAAUAAUAAAUGAAUUUUCGAGAGUUAUUUCGAUCUGCAAUCAAUUUGAACUAUAUAACGAGUUGUAUUUACGAAUUACGUUCUUCCAGAGAAAAUAAAUAAAUAAUGAUAAUAUUUAAUUGAACAAACGAACAGGAGAAGCGAAGUACUCGGUAUCUUACUUCGAUGGAUAUCGAUUCCAUGUAUUUCAAUAUCCGGAGACCGCAUUGCCGAACUCGGGUGCUUGAAUCACGUCGCGCUGGUGUCAGCAACCAAACUGUACAAAAAUUGCCGGACCGUUGCAUAAUAUCGGCGAUAGAUGUACGUACGUAGAUAUAAAUAAUAAUUACUUCGAUUGAUUAUGAGCAAAACUUGAGCAAAAUGAUAAGCGGAACAUCGGUUCAAUUUGCAGCAGUUUUUUACAAUUUUGAAAACCUAUGAAACCUAAUUGAAUCUACCGUAACGUUCUACUCUUGUGCUGGACUUCUUGGAUGUUUGUUGAGACUGAAAAAUAAUUGGUCUCGAAGUUUGCAUCAAACCUGUGUCUGUCCUAACAUGAAAUUAAUUCGUGUGAAAAUUUAUACCGACGAAAUGUAGGGCGAACGAUUCGAGAUAGUUACCUGCCACGCUGACUCACGCGUGAAUAUCCGAACAUCUUUUCCAGUGAAGCCCGAGAACCCAAAUUGUGAAUAUCAAGUUGACAGAUUGCGUGCGGAAGAAUAAUUCGAUUGAACUUUACAUCGAAAAACUAAUCACUGGACCUUUUCCAAGUCUAGUUUUUCACGAUAUCUCUAAUUAGAUACGUAUGUGGAUGAGCAAAAGAACGGCGGCUGAUCAUUAUCGAAGUGGAUCGGUCGAUCCGAUUACAGUAUUAUAGUCCGAUCGUACGCAUCUCGUAUGAGAUAACGUUAGAUACAUGUAAGAGAUUAGAGAAAAAUUUUAACCCUGGAUAUGUAAAAUUAGAUAAGAGCAAAAAUUUACCGCCAGUAUAGCAUAUGAAGUAAGUUAUAUCACGAGUGAUUCAACGGGUUUUAUCGUUAUAUGGUAACUAUUUGAUGAAUACCAUAAAACUGAUAACUGAUUAUACAAACGUAACAUGGAGAGAAAAAGUACGAAUAUUUCACGGAGACUUACCAACCUGCAGUACAUUUUCUGUCGCCGACUAAACUUAAUACCUUGUAAUGAAUUUCCGAUAAAAUUUAUUUCUGUACGACAGUUCGUAUAAUAGUCAAGCUAUUAUUACUCUACGCAAAUCGAUAUUAAACUUAUAAAUGUAUAUGUAUAGCCAGCUGACUGAUGUUUCGAACAAAGUUUCUUCAAGUGGCGCGGCUUGUUUCGGCUUCCUAUCCCUCUAUCGUAUAGAUAAUCUUAUGCAUUCGUAUAUUUUGUUGCUUCACCUACUAAAAUCUCUUGCACUCUUUCUUUAUUUUUUCUUCCUGUUAUCAUAAUAAUCUGAAUUCUAAACAUAUCAUCGAUUCGAUGAUUCCAUACGAUACGAAUAUUAUCAUUUUCUAACGCGUAUGUAUUUGUAUUUUUCAUGUAUAGAGGUUUUGCUGCUCUGUAUAUGGAAUGAAAAUUGAUUACGACCGAUCAAUAUUUCAUUGUCAUCGGUGGCAAGUUUUACGGAAGGUUCAUCGUAUUAUUCAAAUACGUACAAUUUAUGCCCACUGCCUGUUUAGAUUCCCACGGAAUACGUCAUAAUUAUGCGUUUCCUCGUGUAAGACGAGUGUGAAUUGAGAUGAGUACUUCCCACGAGACCUCGUACGUCGUACACCGCGUCGUACUUUCGACGAAAAUUGACUUUUCUACGAUCGUUACGCUAUCAGCUGUUACGUACUUAUAGACACGUGGACAUUAUAUAUCGACUUCGGAAAUAUUCAGGCACGAAAACGCUACUCAUACGCUGUACGUCAUCGGUAAAUAACGUGGUCGUUCGCAUCUGCAUGAAUUAUCUAGCUAGUAUUCUUUUUCAGCUUGCACGUACCGGGAACACCAAAUUUAUGUCUCUACGUGUAUGUGUGAAUUCCUUGGUUUAUGUGGUAAUUGAACAUUUGAUGAAUAGACGAAUAAACUUGCGAAACAAUAAGAAGAAGGAAAAAGAAACUUAGAAUCAAAGAACCCGAUCUAUUCUCAUAUCUCACUGACAAAAAAAUAAGCAAGAAGUAUUUUAAGAUUCUCAAGCUGCUGAAUGGUAAAUCAUCAUCUUAUACCCCGAAUCCCAGCAUAUGCCCGCAGGAAUUGAAAUUUGGCAUCAAUUCCGUGAUUAGCUGGUAUUGCAAACGAAUGGUGACCCAGUUUUUGUAUGAUAACCACUUUGACGAGUAUCGAUUCAUUAUUACUGUGGCAGAAGGUGGUAGGAAAC